AUUGAACGCUGGCGGCAGGCCUAACACAUGCAAGUCGAGCGAGAGGCGGACGGGUGAGUAAUGUAUGGGAAAGUGCCUGAUGGAGGGGGAUAACUACUGGAAACGGUAGCUAAUACCGCAUACAAUCGGAUGGGCCGAGAUGGGAUUAGCUUGUAGGUGGGGUAAAGGCUCACCAAGGCGACGAUCCCUAGCUGGUCUGAGAGGAUGACCAGCCACACUGGAACUGAGACACGGUCCAGACUCCUACGGGAGGCAGCAGUGGGGAAUAUUGCACAAGGGGCGCAAGCCUGAUGCAGCCAUGCCGCGUGUAUGAAGAAGGCCUUCGGGUUGUAAAGUACUUUCAGCGGGGAGGCGUUACCCGCAGAAGAAGCACCGGCUAACUCCGUGCCAGCAGCCGCGGUAAUUC
rnacentral:rRNA from 1 species